rnacentral:rRNA from 1 species
CGAAAGCCUGACGGAGCAACGCCGCGUGAGGGAGGAAGGCCCUUGGGUUGUAAACCUCUUUUCUGGGGGAAGAAGUAAUGACGGUACCCCAGGAAUAAGCAUCGGCUAACUCCGUGCCGGCAGCCGCGGUAAUACGGAGGAUGCAAGCGUUAUCCGGAAUCAUUGGGCGUAAAGCGUCCGCAGGUGGCUAUUCAAGUCUGCUGUCAAAGCAUGGAGCUUAACUCCAUAGAGGCAGUGGAAACUGAAAGGCUAGAGGCCGGUAGGGGUAGUGGGAAUUCCCAGUGUAGCGGUGAAAUGCGUAGAGAUUGGGAAGAACAUCGGUGGCGAAAGCGCACUACUGGGCAGGACCUGACACUGAGGGACGAAAGCCAGGGGAGCAAAAGGGAUUAGAUACCCCUGUAGUCCUAGCCGUAAACGAUGGAGACUAGGCGUAGCUUGUAUCGACCCAAGCUGUGCCGAAGCUAACGCGUUAAGUCUCCCGCCUGGGGAGUACGCACGCAAGUGUGAAACUCAAAGGAAUUGACGGGGGCCCGCACAAGCGGUGGAGUAUGUGGUUUAAUUCGAUGCAACGCGAAGAACCUUACCAGGGCUUGACAUCUGGCGAAUUUGGGGGAAACCUCGGAGUGCCUUCGGGAGCGCCAAGACAGGUGGUGCAUGGCUGUCGUCAGCUCGUGUCGUGAGAUGUUGGGUUAAGUCCCGCAACGAGCGCAACCCUCGUUUUUAGUUGCCAUCAUUAAGUUGGGCACUCUAGAGAGACUGCCGGUGACAAACCGGAGGAAGGUGGGGAUGACGUCAAGUCAGCAUGCCCCUUACGUCCUGGGCUACACACGUACUACAAUGGUCGGGACAGAGGGCAGCAAACUCGCAAGAGCAAGCGAAUCUCAUCAAACUCGGCCUCAGUUCAGAUUGCAGGCUGCAACUCGCCUGCAUGAAGGAGGAAUCGCUAGUAAUCGCCGGUCAGCAUACGGCGGUGAAUUCGUUCCCGGGCCUUGUACACACCGCCCGUCACACCAUGGGAGCUGGCCACGCCCGAAGUCGUUACCCUAACCCGAAAGGGAGGGGGAUGCCGAAGGCAGGGCUAGUAACUGGGGUGAAGUCGUAACAAGGUAGCCGUACCGGAAGGUGUGGCUGGAUCACCUCCUUU